rnacentral:rRNA from 1 species
GACGAACGCUGGCGGCGUGCUUAACACAUGCAAGUCGAACGGUGACGGAGAGCUUGCUCUCCUGAUCAGUGGCGAACGGGUGAGUAACACGUGGGCAACCUGCCCCAGACUUCGGGAUAACGCUUCGAAAGAGGUGCUAAUACCGGAUACGAACUCCUUGGGCAUCCUUGGAGUUGGAAAGUUUUUCGGUCUGGGAUGGGCCCGCGGCCUAUCAGCUAGUUGGUGAGGUAACGGCUCACCAAGGCGACGACGGGUAGCCGGCCUGAGAGGGCGACCGGCCACACUGGGACUGAGACACGGCCCAGACUCCUACGGGAGGCAGCAGUGGGGAAUAUUGCGCAAUGGGCGAAAGCCUGACGCAGCAACGCCGCGUGAGGGAUGACGGCCUUCGGGUUGUAAACCUCUUUCAGCAGGGAAGAAGCGAAAGUGACGGUACCUGCAGAAGAAGCACCGGCUAACUACGUGCCAGCAGCCGCCGUAAUAC